rnacentral:rRNA from 1 species
CCGGCACGGGUGAGUAACGCGUAUGCAACUUACCUAUCAGAGGGGGAUAACCCGGCGAAAGUCGGACUAAUACCGCAUGAAGCAGGGAUCCCGCAUGGGAAUAUUUGCUAAAGAUUCAUCGCUGAUAGAUAGGCAUGCGUUCCAUUAGGCAGUUGGCGGGGUAACGGCCCAUCAAACCGACGAUGGAUAGGGGUUCUGAGAGGAAGGUCCCCCACAUUGGUACUGAGACACGGACCAA